AGGACGAACGCUGGCGGCGUGCUUAACACAUGCAAGUCGAGCGAGGCCCUCUCUUCGGAGAGGUGCCCUAGCGGCGAACGGGUGAGUAACACGUGGGCAACCUGCCCCUAGCACUGGGAUAAGCCCGGGAAACCGGGUCUAAUACCGGAUAUGACCUUCAAGGGCAUCCUCGAAGGUGUAAAGGAUUCUGGCUAGGGAUGGGCCCGCGGCCUAUCAGCUUGUUGGUGGGGUAAUGGCCCACCAAGGCAACGACGGGUAGCCGGCCUGAGAGGGCGACCGGCCACACUGGGACUGAGACACGGCCCAGACUCCUACGGGAGGCAGCAGUGGGGAAUAUUGCACAAUGGGCGAAAGCCUGAUGCAGCGACGCCGCGUGAGGGAUGACGGCCUUCGGGUUGUAAACCUCUUUCAGCUCCGACGAAGCGAAGUGACGGUAGGAGCAGAAGAAGCACCGGCCAACUACGUGCCAGCAGCCGCGGUAA
rnacentral:rRNA from 1 species